rnacentral:misc_RNA from 1 species
GAUGAAGAACGUAGCGAAUUGCGAUAUGUAAUGUGAAUUGCAGAAUUCAGUGAAUCAUCGAAUCUUUGAAUGCAAAUUGCACCCUCCUGUGGAGGGUAUGCCUGUUUGAGUGUCAUUUAUUCCUCAACACUGCUUGGCAUUUUCUGGCCUUGCUAGUUGUUGGAUGUUGAGGGCAUGCAGGUGAAAGCCUGCUCCUUUCAAAUAUAUGAGCAGUAGUAUAUGAAACCAGCUCCAAUUUGAUAAACUUGCUGUUGUCUGUGUUGUUGCUGGGAAAGGAGUAUCACACUGCUUCUAAAUGUCUUUGGACUGCCUAGUGCAAAUAUUUCUUAUCUUGACCUCAAAUCAGGUAGGACUACCCGCUGAACUUAAGCAUAUCAAUAAGCGGAGGA